rnacentral:rRNA from 1 species
ACGGAAGGCAGCAGUGGGGAUAUUGCACAAUGGGCGCAAGCCUGAUGCUGCGAUGCCGCGUGAGGGAAGAAGGUUUUCGGAUUGUAAACCUCUGUCAUCGGGGACGAUAAUGACUGUACCCGAGAAGGAAGCUCCGGCUAACUACGUGCCAGCAGCCGCGGUAAUACGUAGGGAGCGAGCGUUAUCCGGAAUUACUGGGUGUAAAGGGAGUGUAGGCGGGACUGUAAGUCAGAUGUGAAAUAUACCGGCUCAACUGGUAGACUGCAUUUGAAACUGCGGUUCUUGAGUGAAGUAGAGGUAAGCGGAAUUCCUAGUGUAGCGGUGAAAUGCGUAGAUAUUAGGAGGAACAUCAGUGGCGAAGGCGGCUUACUGGGCUUUAACUGACGCUGAGGCUCGAAAGCGUGGGGAGCAAACAGGAUUAGAUACCCUGGUA